GACGAACGCUGGCGGCGUGCUUAACACAUGCAAGUCGAACGAAGUGGCGAACGGGUGAGUAACGCGUAAUCAACCUGCCCUUAAGAGGGGGCAAACAGUUGGACACGACUGAUAAUACCGCAUACUGAAGGAGGGGAUUGCGUCUGAUUAGCUAUGUGGAGGGGUAACGGCCCCCCAAGGCGAUGAUCAGUAGCCGGUCUGAGAGGAUGAACGGCCACAGUGGGACUGAGACACGGCCCAGAGUCCUACGGGAGGCAGCAGUGGGGAAUUUUCCGCAAUGGACGAAAGUCUGACGGAGCAACGCCGCGGGAGUGAUGACGGCCUUCGGGUUGUAAAGCUCUGUUAAUCGGGACGCGGUACCGGAAUAGAAAGCCACGGCUAACUACGUGCCAGCAGCCGCGGUAAUUC
rnacentral:rRNA from 1 species